rnacentral:lncRNA from 1 species
UCAAGGAUCGCGAGAUCGAGUACCCAGCAUCACGACAUUACCUAAGAGGUGGGGUGUCACGCCCCACGCCCCGCCUAUUUAGUCGGGUUCAAGUACGUCGACAGACCGCCAAACGGACAGAGUUUUCCCUGUACGUCCUAGGCGUCGCAAUCAAUACAAUUCACGAUGUUCCAACCAGGAACAGAAAUCAAGCAUAGAUUGCAUAAGGAAGUAUCAAAAACAUAAACAACUAAGUUAUUACAAGCAUUCAUCAACUUAUAUUUUUACAUCACAGUUUCUUUUACAUUCAACUUCCAAAUUACAAUCUAAUUAUUACAAAUUUUGAUACAUUCUUGUUCUUUCCUUUCCCUAUACCCCUAGGCUAUGCCGAUACGGGGUAUUGCUAUCUCUGGUCUCUGUGGUAGGGGGCUAUCUAUGGAGCUACGCCCUUGCCUUGUGCCACUGCGCCGCUCACGUGUGUACCUGUAACAACCC